UACAAGUCAGUAGGUUAUGGAACAUAUUUAACAAAAAAAUACCGCGAAAAAACUCGCUAUAAAGUAGAUAGGUGUCAUAUUUAAUUUAAAAUUAAAAACAGUGACACCUAGCGGAUAUUUACGGUCAGGCAGAAACACUGAGCUAUACAUAUAACUAGAGAGCGCGACUCAAUCACACUCAAUGGCAGCACAGUGAGCGAAAAUAGGACACGCUUGAGUGAUUAAUUCAGUUUGAGCCCCAAUUUAGACAGCGGGAAAGGCAGUUUGUGUAGAUAUAGUCGAAAGAAAGUAAGUAUAUGCAGUUUUUCUUCGUUUAUUUAAAUAGUAAAGUAAAUGCGUUACUUUUUAAUGGCUAAGCACAUGGCCGGUUUACAUUACCGCUUUUUUGCGCAAAGGGGUGUAAAGUAGUUCGUGUAUGUUAGGAGUUAAUGUGUGUCAGCAGGGUAGGUGUCGUUUUAUAACGUGUACUGUGUAUUAUAGAAUAUGGAUACUGUUUAUUUGCUACGUAUGUAAUUUUAGUUUUUACAAGAAAUUUUCCUUCAUUAAUCAUUUGUUGUAUUACAGAUUUGAAGUAAAUAUAAAGAACCCCAGGCAUAAUGCAAUCAGUAACUAAAGAUGAGUAAUUUGGUAAAGAUGGUUACAACAAUUGGUUGUUGAUAAGAACCCCAGGCAUAAUGCAAUCAGUAACUAAAGAUGAGUAAUUUGGUAAAGAUGGUUACAACAAUUGGUUGUUGAUAAGAACCCCAGGCAUAAUGCAAUCAGUAACUAAAGAUGAGUAAUUUGGUAAAGAUGGUUACAACAAUUGGUUGUUGAUACUAAGAUUAAAAAUAUUGCCGGUCAACAUCAGCGCAGCAAAAAAACAAAAAUGGAAUCAGAUCAAAAUAUUGUUUAAAAGUUAUACAAGAAAUACAAGACUUUCUGAGCACAUAAAUUAAAAGUUGCUAAGUAAUAUCAUCGCAUUAUGAUGAGAACACAAAGUAUUGUUCCAAAUACGUAAAAUGACUUGUUUGUGUCAUGCACAAUAUGUUACAAAAUUGCUUGUCAUAUAUUCAUAUUUCUUGUGAAUUCUGUCUCUAUUUUCACCAUAAAUUCUGUUGUAAAUUUAAAAUAAACACGCAAUUCACCUUAUAAACUGUAAUAUAUGCAAAUAACAAAUGAAGAUUUUAACAUACUUUGUAAUAGAGUGUAUACAUACUGAACUUUAUUUUUAAAUCAGUAUUAGGCAAAAUGAAUGAAGCUGUCAGUAGUAAGUUUGAUAAAAGAGGGCACCAGUGCUGUGCAUAUAUGGGUGU